rfam:Triticum aestivum genome assembly, contig: Triticum_aestivum_CS42_TGACv1_scaffold_586306_7BL
UAAGUACUCCCUCCGUCCGGAAAUAGUCAUCAUCAAAAUGGAUAUAAGGGGGUGUAUCUAGAUGUAUUUUAGUUCUAAAUACAUCUUUUUUUAUCCAUUUUGAAGACAAAUAUUUUCGGACAGAGGGAGUAGCUU